rnacentral:rRNA from 1 species
GGGUUGUGAGGUUAAGCGACUAAGCGUACACGGUGGAUGCCCUGGCAGUCAGAGGCGAUGAAGGACGUGCUAAUCUGCGAUAAGCGUCGGUGAGGUGAUAUGAACCGUUAUAACCGGCGAUUUCCGAAUGGGGAAACCCAGUGUGAUUCGUCACACUAUCAUUAACUGAAUCCAUAGGUUAAUGAGGCGAACCGGGGGAACUGAAACAUCUAAGUACCCCGAGGAAAAGAAAUCAACCGAGAUUCCCCCAGUAGCGGCGAGCGAACGGGGAGGAGCCCAGAGCCUGAAUCAGUGUGUGUGUUAGUGGAAGCGUCUGGAAAGGCGCGCGAUACAGGGUGACAGCCCCGUACACAAAAAUGCACA